CGAAGGGUGCGAGCGUUAAUCGGAAUUACUGGGCGUAAAGAGCACGUAGGCGGUUUGAUAAGCGGAAUGUGAAAUCCCCGGGCUUAACCUGGGAACUGCAUUCCGAACUGUCAGGCUAGAGUAUGAUAGAGGUGAGCGGAAUUUCCUGUGUAGCGGUGAAAUGCGUAGAUAUAGGAAGGAACAUCAGUUGCGAAGGCGGCUCACUGGAUCAAUACUGACGCUGAGGUGCGAAAGCGUGGGUAGCGAACAGGAUUAGAUACCCUGGUAGUCCACGCCGUAAACGAUGUCUACUAGCCGUUAGGGUACUUGAUACCCUAGUGGCGCAGCUAACGCGAUAAGUAGACCGCCUGGGGAGUACGGCCGCAAGGUUA
rnacentral:rRNA from 1 species